rnacentral:rRNA from 1 species
AUGUCCCAGAGUUCAUCGUCGGCGCGUCGCAUCCGGGCACCCCCACCCCCGCUGCCCUUGAUCAUGUGCCCAAGGUGCACCGGGACAAGGACUAGGUGGUUUGUGUCCGGGAUGGAACGCAACCCGGGCAUCCGUUUCUACAAGUGCCCGAACCAGUUGGACGGAGGCCCUUGCGAUUUUUGGCUGUGGGAGGACCAGUACGCGUUCUACAUAACUGGCGUUGGCAUCAACCUCCUCAUCGAGGCUGCCGGAGGUGGGAGCAACGUCAUGUUCGGGAUGGGACGCGCCAUGGAAGACAUACGCAUCGCAGCUAGGAACACCAUGAUGAUCUGUUUGCUAAUGCUGUUCGUGGUGCUUGCCAAGGGAGCCGGCUGGCAGUAA